GACGUAGGGUGCGAGCGUUGUCCGGAUUUAUUGGGCGUAAAGAGCUCGUAGGCGGCUCGUCGCGUCGUCCGUGAAAACCCGCGGCUUAACCGCGGGCUUGCGGUUGAUACGGGCGGGCUAGAGUUCGGUAGGGGAGACUGGAAUUCCUGGUGUAGCGGUGAAAUGCGUAGAUAUCUGGAGGAACACCGGUGGCGAAGGCGGCAUCCUGGACCGGCAUUGACGCUGAGGAGCGAAAGCCAGGGGAGCAAACGGG
rnacentral:rRNA from 1 species